CCUACGGGUGGCAGCAGUGAGGAAUAUUGGUCAAUGGACAAGAGUCUGAACCAGCCAAGUAGCGUGAAGGAUGACUGCCCUAUGGGUUGUAAACUUCUUUUAUAAAGGAAUAAAACGAGGCACGUGUGCCUUUUUGCAUGUACUUUAUGAAUAAGGAUCGGCUAACUCCGUGCCAGCAGCCGCGGUAAUACGUAGGAUCCGAGCGUUAUCCGGAUUUAUUGGGUUUAAAGGGAGCGUAGAUGGGUUGUUAAGUCAGUUGUGAAAGUUUGCGGCUCAACCGUAAAAUUGCAAUUGAUACUGGCAGUCGUGAGUACAGUUGAGGUAGGCGGAAUUCGUGGUGUAGCGGUGAAAUGCUUAGAUAUCACGAAGAACCCCGAUUGCGAAGGCAGCUUACUAAACUGUGACUGACAUUGAUGCUCGAAAGUGUGGGUAUCAAACAGGAUUAGAUACCCUAGUAGUC
rnacentral:rRNA from 1 species